CUGCUAUACAUGCAAGUCGAACGCACUGUGGUUCAACUGAUUUGAAGAGCUUGCUCUGAUAUGACGAUGAACAUUGCAGUGAGUGGCGAACGGGUGAGUAACACGUGGGAAACCUACCUCUUAGCGGGGGAUAACAUCUGGAAACAGAUGCUAAUACCGCAUAACACUAGCAACCGCAUGGUUGCUACUUGAAAGAUGGUUCUGCUAUCACUAAGAGAUGGUCCCGCGGCGCAUUAGUUAGUUGGUGAGGUAAUGGCUCACCAAGACGAUGAUGCGUAGCCGAGUUGAGAGACUGAUCGGCCACAAUGGGACUGAGACACGGCCCAUACUCCUACGGGAGGCAGCAGUAGGGAAUCUUCCACAAUGGACGAAAGUCUGAUGGAGCAACGCCGCGUGUGUGAUGAAGGGUUUCGGCUCGUAAAACACUGUUGUAAGAGAAGAAUAGCAUCAAGAGUAACUGCUUGGUGUGUGACGGUAUCUUACCAGAAAGGAACGGCUAAAUACGUGCCAGCAGCCGCGGUAAUACGUAUGUUCCAAGCGUUAUCCGGAUUUAUUGGGCGUAAAGCGAGCGCAGACGGUUUUUUAAGUCCGAAGUGAAAGCCCACAGCUUAACUGUGGAAGUGCUUUGGAAACUGGAUGACUUGAGUGCAGUAGAGGAGAGUGGAAUUCCAUGUGUAGCGGUGAAAUGCGUAGAUAUAUGGAGGAACACCAGUGGCGAAGGCGGCUCUCUGGACUGUAACUGACGUUGAGGCUCGAAAGUGUGGGUAGCAAACAGGAUUAGAUACCCUGGUAGUCCACACCGUAAACGAUGAGUGCUAGAUGUUUGGGGGUUUCCGCCCCUAAGUGUCGCAGCUAACGCAUUAAGCACUCCGCCUGGGGAGUACGACCGCAAGGUUGAAACUCAAAGGAAUUGACGGGGACCCGCACAAGCGGUGGAGCAUGUGGUUUAAUUCGAAGCAACGCGAAGAACCUUACCAGGUCUUGACAUCCUUUGACCACGCCAGAAAUGGCGCUUUCCCUUCGGGGACAAAGUGACAGGUGGUGCAUGGUUGUCGUCAGCUCGUGUCCUGAAAUGUUUG
rnacentral:rRNA from 1 species